rnacentral:tRNA from 1 species
GAGGGUAUAGCUCAAGUUGUAGAGCACAUGCUUAGCAUGCACGAGGUCCUGGAUUCAAUCUCUAGUACUUCCU